CCUACGGGAGGCAGCACUAGGGAAUCUUCCACAAUGGGCGAAAGCCUGAUGGAGCAAUACCGCGUGAGUGAAGAAGGGUUUCGGCUUGUAAAACUAUGUUGUUGGAAAAGAACGUAUGUGAUAGUAACUGAUCAGUAGUGAC
rnacentral:rRNA from 1 species